rnacentral:rRNA from 1 species
GACGAACGCUGGCGGCGUGCCUAAUACAUGCAAGUCGAACGAGAGCACCCGGUGCUUGCACUGGUCAAUCUAGUGGCGAACGGGUGAGUAACACGUGGGUAACCUGCUCAUCAGAGGGGGAUAACAUCCGGAAACGGAUGCUAAAACCGCAUAGGUCUUCGAACCGCAUGGUUUGAAGAGGAAAAGAGGCGCAAGCUUCUGCUGAUGGAUGGACCCGCGCUGCAUUGGCUAGAUGGUGAGGUAACGGCUCACCAAGGCCGUGAUGCAUAGCCGACCUGAGGGGGGGAUAGGCGACAUGGGGACGGGGACAGGGCCAAAGCGCCUACGAGAGGCAGCAGUAGGGAAUCUUACGCAAUGGACGCGAGUCUGACGGAGCAGCGCCGCGUGAGUGAAGAAGGUGUUCGGUUCGUAAAGCUGUGUUGUUAGAGAAGAACAAGUGCUAGAGUAACUGUUAGGGGAUUGACGGUAUCUAACCAGAAAGCAACGGCUAACUACGUG